AACGAACGCUGGCGGCGUGCUUAACACAUGCAAGUCGAACGUGAUCCGGAGCUUGCUCCGGUGAAAGUGGCGCACGGGUGAGUAACGCGUGGAUAACCUGCCCUGGUAUCUGGGAUAACAUCUCGAAAGGGGUGCUAAUACCGGAUAAGCCCACGGAAUCUUCGGGUUCUGAGGGAAAAGGUGGCCUCUGUCUCAAGCUACCGUAUCAGGAUGAGUCCGCGUACCAUUAGCUAGUUGGUAGGGUAAUGGCCUACCAAGGCGACGAUGGUUAGCUGGUCUGAGAGGAUGAUCAGCCACACUGGAACUGAGACACGGUCCAGACUCCUACGGGAGGCAGCAGUGGGGAAUUUUGCGCAAUGGGGGAAACCCUGACGCAGCAACGCCGCGUGAGUGAUGAAGGCCUUCGGGUCGUAAAGCUCUGUCAGAGGGGAAGAAAUGAUGAGGUGCUAAUACCACUUCUUCUUGACGGUACCCUCAAAGGAAGCACCGGCUAACUCCGUGCCAGCCGCCGCCGUAACAC
rnacentral:rRNA from 1 species